rnacentral:rRNA from 1 species
UGUGUAGGCGGUUCUUUAAGUUUGGUGUGAAAUCUCCCGGCUCAACUGGGAGGGUGCGCCGAAUACUGAGGGACUAGAGUGCGGGAGAGGAGAGUGGAAUUCCUGGUGUAGCGGUGAAAUGCGUAGAUAUCAGGAGGAACACCGGCGGUGUAGACGGCUCUCUGGACCGUAACUGACGCUGAGACACGAAAGCGUGGGUAGCAAACAGGAUUAGAUACCCUGGUAGUCCACGCCCUAAACGAUGCAUAUUUGGUGUGGGUCAUUCAGUUGAUCCGUGCCGGAGCUAACGCGUUAAAUAUGCCGCCUGGGGAGUACAGUCGCAAGGCUGAA